UAGGGAAUCUUCCGCAAUGGACGAAAGUCUGACGGAGCAACGCCGCGUGAGCGAUGAAGGCCUUCGGGUCGUAAAGCUCUGUUGUUAGGGAAGAACAAGUAUCGGAGUAACUGCCGGUACCUUGACGGUACCUAACCAGAAAGCCACGGCUAACUACGUGCCAGCAGCCGCGGUAAUACGUAGGUGGCAAGCGUUGUCCAGAAUUAUUGGGCGUAAAGCGCGCGCAGGCGGUCCUUUAAGUCUGAUGUGAAAGCCCACGGCUCAACCGUGGAGGGUCAUUGGAAACUGGGGGGACUUGAGUACAGAAGAGGAAAGCGGAAUUCCACGUGUAGCGGUGAAAUGCGUAGAGAUGUGGAGGAACACCAGUGGCGAAGGCGGCUUUCUGGUCUGUAACUGACGCUGAGGCGCGAAAGCGUGGGGAGCAAACAGGAUUAGAUACCCUGGUAGUCCACGCCGUAAACGAUGAGUGCUAAGUGUUAGAGGGUUUCCGCCCUUUAGUGCUGC
rnacentral:rRNA from 1 species